AGCGCAUACGGUGGAUGCCUUGGCAGUCAGAGGCGAUGAAAGACGUGGUAGCCUGCGAAAAGCUUCGGGGAGUCGGCAAACAGACUGUGAUCCGGAGAUAUCUGAAUGGGGGAACCCAGCCAUCAUAAGAUGGUUAUCUUGUACUGAAUACAUAGGUGCAAGAGGCGAACCAGGGGAACUGAAACAUCUAAGUACCCUGAGGAAAAGAAAUCAACCGAGAUUCCCUUAGUAGUGGCGAGCGAACGGGGACCAGCCCUUAAGUUGUAUUGAGAUUAGCGGAACGUUCUGGAAAGGACGGCCAUAGUGGGUGAUAGCCCUGUACGCGAAAAUCCUUUUGCAAUGAAAUCGAGUAGGACGGGGCACGAGAAACCUUGUCUGAAUAUGGGGGGACCAUCCUCCAAGGCUAAAUACUACUGACUGACCGAUAGUGAACCAGUACCGUGAGGGAAAGGCGAAAAGAACCGCGGAGAGCGGAGUGAAAUAGAUCCUGAAACCGUAUGCGUACAAGCAGUGGGAGCCCACUUGUUGGGUGACUGCGUACCUUUUGUAUAAUGGGUCAGCGACUUAUUUUCAGUGGCGAGCUUAACCGAAUAGGGGAGGCGUAGCGAAAGCGAGUCUUAAUAGGGCGUCUAGUCGCUGGGAAUAGACCCGAAACCGGGCGAUCUAUCCAUGGGCAGGUUGAAGGUUGGGUAACACUAACUGGAGGACCGAACCGACUACCGUUGAAAAGUUAGCGGAUGACCUGUGGAUCGGAGUGAAAGGCUAAUCAAGCUCGGAGAUAGCUGGUUCUCCUCGAAAGCUAUUUAGGUAGCGCCUCAUGUAUCACUGUAGGGGGUAGAGCACUGUUUCGGCUAGGGGGUCAUCCCGACUUACCAAACCGAUGCAAACUCCGAAUACCUACAAGUGCCGAGCAUGGGAGACACACGGCGGGUGCUAACGUCCGUCGUGAAAAGGGAAACAACCCAGACCGUCAGCUAAGGUCCCAAAGUCAUGGUUAAGUGGGAAACGAUGUGGGAAGGCUUAGACAGCUAGGAGGUUGGCUUAGAAGCAGCCACCCUUUAAAGAAAGCGUAAUAGCUCACUAGUCGAGUCGGCCUGCGCGGAAGAUGUAACGGGGCUCAAACCAUGCACCGAAGCUACGGGUAUCAUCUUUUGAUGAUGCGGUAGAGGAGCGUUCUGUAAGCCUGUGAAGGUGAGUUGAGAAGCUUGCUGGAGGUAUCAGAAGUGCGAAUGCUGACAUGAGUAACGACAAUGGGUGUGAAAAACACCCACGCCGAAAGACCAAGGUUUCCUGCGCAACGUUAAUCGACGCAGGGUUAGUCGGUCCCUAAGGCGAGGCUGAAAAGCGUAGUCGAUGGAAAACAGGUUAAUAUUCCUGUACUUCUGGUUAUUGCGAUGGAGGGACGGAGAAGGCUAGGCCAGCCUGGCGUUGGUUGUCCAGGUUUAAGGUGGUAGGCUGAGAUCUUAGGUAAAUCCGGGAUCUUAAGGCCGAGAGCUGAUGACGAGUGUUCUUUUAGAACACGAAGUGGUUGAUGCCAUGCUUCCAAGAAAAGCUUCUAAGCUUCAGGUAACCAGGAACCGUACCCCAAACCGACACAGGUGGUUGGGUAGAGAAUACCAAGGCGCUUGAGAGAACUCGGGUGAAGGAACUAGGCAAAAUGGCACCGUAACUUCGGGAGAAGGUGCGCCGGUGGAGGUGAAGCAUUUACUGCGUAAGCCCCUGCCGGUCGAAGAUACCAGGCCGCUGCGACUGUUUAUUAAAAACACAGCACUCUGCAAACACGAAAGUGGACGUAUAGGGUGUGACGCCUGCCCGGUGCCGGAAGGUUAAUUGAUGGGGUUAGCGCAAGCGAAGCUCUUGAUCGAAGCCCCGGUAAACGGCGGCCGUAACUAUAACGGUCCUAAGGUAGCGAAAUUCCUUGUCGGGUAAGUUCCGACCUGCACGAAUGGCGUAACGAUGGCGGCGCUGUCUCCACCCGAGACUCAGUGAAAUUGAAAUCGCUGUGAAGAUGCAGUGUAUCCGCGGCUAGACGGAAAGACCCCGUGAACCUUUACUAUAGCUUUGCACUGGACUUUGAAUUUGCUUGUGUAGGAUAGGUGGGAGGCUUUGAAGCGUGGACGCCAGUCUGCGUGGAGCCAACCUUGAAAUACCACCCUGGCAACUUUGAGGUUCUAACUCAGGUCCGUUAUCCGGAUCGAGGACAGUGUAUGGUGGGUAGUUUGACUGGGGCGGUCUCCUCCUAAAGAGUAACGGAGGAGUACGAAGGUGCGCUCAGACCGGUCGGAAAUCGGUCGUAGAGUAUAAAGGCAAAAGCGCGCUUGACUGCGAGACAGACACGUCGAGCAGGUACGAAAGUAGGUCUUAGUGAUCCGGUGGUUCUGUAUGGAAGGGCCAUCGCUCAACGGAUAAAAGGUACUCCGGGGAUAACAGGCUGAUACCGCCCAAGAGUUCAUAUCGACGGCGGUGUUUGGCACCUCGAUGUCGGCUCAUCACAUCCUGGGGCUGAAGCCGGUCCCAAGGGUAUGGCUGUUCGCCAUUUAAAGUGGUACGCGAGCUGGGUUUAGAACGUCGUGAGACAGUUCGGUCCCUAUCUGCCGUGGACGUUUGAGAUUUGAGAGGGGCUGCUCCUAGUACGAGAGGACCGGAGUGGACGAACCUCUGGUGUUCCGGUUGUCACGCCAGUGGCAUUGCCGGGUAGCUAUGUUCGGAAAAGAUAACCGCUGAAAGCAUCUAAGCGGGAAACUUGCCUCAAGAUGAGAUCUCACUGGAACCUUGA
rnacentral:rRNA from 1 species